rnacentral:rRNA from 1 species
AGCGAACGCUGGCGGCAGGCCUAACACAUGCAAGUCGAACGAACUCUUCGGAGUUAGUGGCGGACGGGUGAGUAACACGUGGGAACGUGCCUUUAGGUUCGGAAUAACUCAGGGAAACUUGUGCUAAUACCGAAUGUGCCCUUCGGGGGAAAGAUUUAUCGCCUUUAGAGCGGCCCGCGUCUGAUUAGCUAGUUGGUGAGGUAAAGGCUCACCAAGGCGACGAUCAGUAGCUGGUCUGAGAGGAUGAUCAGCCACAUUGGGACUGAGACACGGCCCAAACUCCUACGGGAGGCAGCAGUGGGGAAUCUUGCGCAAUGGGCGAAAGCCUGACGCAGCCAUGCCGCGUGAAUGAUGAAGAUCUUAGGAUUGUAAAAUUCUUUCACCGGGGACGAUAAUGACGGUACCCGGAGAAGUAGCCCCGGCUAACUUCGUG